rnacentral:misc_RNA from 1 species
AGCAGCCGCGGUAAUUCCAGCUCCAAUAGCGUAUAUUAAAGUUGUUGCAGUUAAAAAGCUCGUAGUUGAAUUUCGGGAUCAGUUGAUCGGUCGUGCCUCGGUACGUACUGGUCAAAUUGAUUCCUACCUUCUGACGAACCACGAUGUCAUUAAUUUGAUGUCGCGGGAAAUCAGGACUGUUACUUUGAAAAAAAGUUAGAGUGUUUAAAGCAGGCUCGCGCUUGAAUACAUUAGCAUGGAAUAAUGAAAUAGGACGUUUGAUUCUAUUUUGUUGGUUUCUAGGAUCGACGUAAUGAUUAAUAGGGAUAGUUGGGGGCAUUAGUAUUCAAUUGUCAGAGGUGAAAUUCUUGGAUUUAUUGAAGACUAACUACUGCGAAAGCAUUUGCCAAGGAUGUUUUCAAUUAAGUCAAGAACGAAAUGUUAGGGGAUCGAAGAACGAUCAGAUACCGUCGUAGUCUUAACCAUAAACUACGCCGACUAGGGAUCGGAUGAUGUUAAUUUUUUCAAUGACUCAUUCGGC